rnacentral:tRNA from 1 species
UUUCCCGUGGUGUAAUUGGUAGCACGGCAGUCUUUGGAACUGCUUGUUUUGGUUCGAGUCCAGACGGGAGAG